AGAGCUUCCAACAAGCUCCCAGAGCCCCAUCAUCAACAUGAGCCAGACACUUGACGAAAGCCUCUAUGAAGAAAGACAACAAAACACAUCAAAAAAGGAAAUUUUGAGAAAUGGGAGACGGUGCAAGAUGGCUGCAGCACCCCUUUCAAGAUUCCUGCCUUGUUUUGCUGACCAACCCCAUAUGCCAUUUUUAAAAGAAUAUGUGAGAGCACCUGGGUGGCUCAGUCAGAAUAGGAUUCAUGGAUGAACUGGAUGUGGAGAGAUAAUUCCAAGACAUUUGGCCAGGGCAGCUGGAAGGACAAAGCCCCAUCAACUGAGACCAUCAAAGGAGGAGCUGAUUGGGGGAAAAUUGGUAAUUCGAUUUGGGAUAUUAGCACUGAAAUGGCUAUCAGGCAUCCUAUAAAUGACUAAUGAAGAUUUCAAGAAACGAGCUGGAUAUGCAA